rnacentral:rRNA from 1 species
ACACCGGCAGCUCUAGUGGUAGCUGUUUUUAUUGGGCCUAAAGCGUUCGUAGCCGGUUUGGUAAGUCACUGGUGAAAUCCUGUAGCUUAACUAUGGGAAUUGCUGGUGAUACUGUUGAACUUGAGGUCGGGAGAGGUUAGCGGUACUCCCAGGGUAGAGGUGAAAUUCUGUAAUCCUGGGAGGACCACCUGGGGCGAAGGGGGCUAACUGGAACGAACCUGACGGUGAGGGACGAAAGCUAGGGGCGCGAACCGGAUUAGAUACCCGGGUAGUCCUAGCCGUAAACGAUGCGGGCUUGGUGUUGGGAUGGCUUUGAGCCGCUCCGGUGCCGAAGGGAAGCUGUUAAGUCCGCCGCCUGGGAAGUACGGUCGCAAGACUGAAACUUAAAGGAAUUGGCGGGG